UGGGUCUAUAGCUCAGGUGGUUAGAGCGCACGCCUGAUAAGCGUGAGGUCGAUGGUUCGAGUCCAUUUAGACCCACC
rnacentral:tRNA from 1 species